UACGAGGGGCGCAAGUGUUGUUCGGAAUCACUGGGCGUAAAGGGAGCGUAGGCGGGCUUUUAAGUUAGGUGUUUAAUCCCGGGGCCCAACCCCGGACCGGCACCUAAAACUGGGAGUCUUGAAUAGUGGAGAGGUCGGUGGAAUUGGGGGUGUAGCGGUGGAAUGCGUAGAGAUCCCCAAGAACACCAGUUGCGAAGGCGGCCGACUGGACACAUAUUGACGCUGAGGCUCGAAAGCAUGGGGAGCAAACAGG
rnacentral:rRNA from 1 species